GAGCGAGAAAGGGUAGCAAUACCUGAGUAAAGCGGCGCACGGGUGAGUAACACGUGACUAACCUACCCUCGAGUGGGGAAUAACUUCGGGAAACCGAGGCUAAUACCGCAUAAUACCCACGGGUCAAAGAAGCAAUUCGCUUGAGGAGGGGGUCGCGGCCGAUUAGUUAGUUGGCGGGGUAACGGCCCACCAAGACGAUGAUCGGUAUCCGGCCUGAGAGGGCGCACGGACACACUGGAACUGAAACACGGUCCAGACUCCUACGGGAGGCAGCAGUGGGGAAUUUUGCGCAAUGGGGGAAACCCUGACGCAGCAACGCCGCGUGGAGGAUGAAGUCCUUCGGGACGUAAACUCCUUUCGAUCGGGACGAUUAUGACGGUACCGGAAGAAGAAGCCCCGGCUAACUUCGUGCCAGCAGCCGCGGUAAUACGAGGGGGGCGAGCGUUGUUCGGAAUUAUUGGGCGUAAAGGGUGCGUAGGCGGUUUGGUAAGUCUUGUGUGAAAUCUCUGGGCUCAACUCAGAGUCUGCACGAGAAACUGCCGGGCUCGAGUGUGGGAGAGGUGAGUGGAAUUUCCGGUGUAGCGGUGAAAUGCGUAGAUAUCGGAAGGAACACCUGUGGCGAAGGCGGCUCACUGGACCACAACUGACGCUGAUGCACGAAAGCUAGGGGA
rnacentral:rRNA from 1 species